CCUACGGGAGGCUGUAGUGGGGAAUAUUGCGCAAUGGGCGAAAGCCUGACGCAGCGACGCCGCGUGGGUGAUGAAGGCCUUCGGGUUGUAAAGCCCUGUCGGGUGGAACGAACGAUCUGGCGGCGAAUAACCGCCGGGUGUGACGGUACCACCGAAGGAAUCCCCGGCUAACUACGUGCCAGCAGCCGCGGUAAGACGUCGGGGGCGAGCGUUGUUCGGAUUUGCUUGGCGGACAGCGCGCGUAGGCUGUGAAAUCCCUCGGCUUAACCGAGUACCCGCAUCCGAUACUGUCUGGCUCGAGUCUAGGAGAGGAAAGCGGAAUUCCCAGUGUAGCGGUGAAAUGCGUAGAUAUUGGGAGGAACACCGGUGGCGAAGGCGGCUUUCCGGACUAGUACUGACGCUGAGGCGCGAAAGCUAGGGGAGCGAACGGGAUUAGAUACCCGAGUAGUC
rnacentral:rRNA from 1 species